ensembl:snoRNA
CCGCACUGCCUUUGACCCGGCGGGGUGCCCUGCCCGCGGUGCCGCUGGCCAAGCUGCAGUGCUAGAGCGAAACGCUUGUUCAUAACUGGGGCUGCUCGGCCCCGGCCCGGGCGGUCCUUUUAAAAGCAAGUGACAGAU